UGGGGAAUAUUGCACAAUGGGCGCAAGCCUGAUGCAGCCAUGCCGCGUGUAUGAAGAAGGCCUUCGGGUUGUAAAGUACUUUCAGUCGGGAGGAAGGUGGUAAGGUUAAUAACCUUAUCAAUUGACGUUACCGACAGAAGAAGCACCGGCUAACUCCGUGCCAGCAGCCGCGGUAAUACGGAGGGUGCAAGCGUUAAUCGGAAUUACUGGGCGUAAAGCGCACGCAGGCGGUUGAUUGAGUCAGAUGUUAAAUCCCCGGGCUUAACCCGGGAAUUGCAUCUGAUACUGGUCAGCUAGAGUCUUGUAGAGGGGGGUAGAAUUCCAUGUGUAGCGGUGAAAUGCGUAGAGAUGUGGAGGAAUACCGGUGGCGAAGGCGGCCCCCUGGACAAAGACUGACGCUCAGGUGCGAAAGCGUGGGGAGCAAACAGG
rnacentral:rRNA from 1 species